rnacentral:rRNA from 1 species
GACGAACGCUGGCGGCGUGCUUAACACAUGCAAGUCGAACGGACAGGCCCUGCUUUUGUUGGUUGCUCGAGUGGCGAACGGGUGAGUAACACGUGAGUAACCUGCCCUUGACUUUGUGAUAACUUCAGGAAACUGGGGCUCAUACCGGAUAUGAGCUCCUGCUGCAUGUUGUGGGUUGGAAAGUUUCGGCGGUUGGGGAUGGACUCGCGGCUUAUCAGCUUGUUGGUGGGGUAGUGGCUUACCAAGGCUUUGACGGGUAGCCGGCCUGAGAGGGUGACCGGCCACAUUGGGACUGAGAUACGGACCAGACUCCUACGGGAGGCAGCAGGGGGGAAUAUUGCACAAUGGGCGGAAGCCUGAGGCAGAAACGCCGCGUGCGGGAUGACGGCCUUCGGGUUAUAAACAGCUUUCGAAGGUGACGAAGCGUGAGUGACGGUAAUGGGUAAAGAAGCACCGGCUAACUACGUG